AAUGUGUUAUUAUUGUCUUUUUGGUAUUGUGACAUUCCCAAAUGACCUUAACCAAGUGCAAGGAGGUGAAAAAGGAGGGUGGUGUGUGUUAAGAAACCUUUCUUUGGCCAGGAAGGCUCAUGUGGCCCAUAUGCCUGAAAUUUUAGUUUUUGUUUAUAAAUAGAGAGGAGAUCCCCAUAUCAUGUAACCUUAGACAACAACACCAUACACUAAUAAAGAAUCAGUCCCUCUCUACACUUUUGUCUCCUUGUGUUCUACUAUUAUUCAGUUAAAAAACUCCUGGACUAUAUUCUGUAGCAAAAGGUUUUUAACACGUUAUCAGCACGAGGCUCUAUUCAAGAAGAUCAAACAAAGGUAUUGAGAAGAAUCUUUGAACUAUGUUCACAUGAUAUUUUGAAUCCCUGUUUUUCCUUUUUCAUAUUACAAGUAUGAUCAUUUCUUAGCUGAUUAUAUCGCCGACUCGAAGUCGAUGGAAAUGAACACGUGAGUGUUGCUGACAUGAAGUCGCCAAUCUGCACAUAUUGAACGUGCACGUGUGAAACGAAAACAUUUUAAAAAAGGAAAGAAAAAGAAAAAAAGGGACAGAAAGAACAAUAAGAGAAAGCCACACUUCUAACGCACUCUCUCCUCCUAGCUGCUGGAGCAGCACGCCAUCGCCGCUCGAACGCAGGCGCGCAUAUCAGGUGGCCAUUGCUGCCCAACGCUGACACGCAGCAGCUGAGCAGUAGACCAUCCCGAUUGUAUGAUGGCAGGUGCUUGCAACAGCAGCAAGCUCACAUCUUUCCUCCAUGCCUUUGCUUCCCUCCACGUAUUGGCAAAGCAUGCGAACAAUACAUGCAUGUAUUAUAGGGCGUAGAGCUAGUGGAAUAGAAUUGUCCAUUAGAUCUUGUUUUGGAGCAGACUAGAUGCAGAAAGGAAGAUGUUCAUCUUGUACUAGAAACAACAGGAGUGAGAGAAGUGACUAACAGUAAAAUGUCCUUGACUGGAUGCACAUCACCACAACAAGGAUGUGGAUUUGAAGAGCUAUGACUGUUCCCUUUACAAGGCAGUGUAACCCAGCAUGAUGCCAUGCAUAACCCACCCGCCGUUGUCUCACGCGGGCACCAAAGCGCCAACGCAUUGCAGCCAUCAUUGAUACCCUGCUAGGGAUGGCAAUGGGUACGGGUAUGGGUAAAUAACCGUGGAUAAUUAUCCAUUGGAUACGGGUAUGGUGGAAUUCAAUAUCCGCGGGUACGGUUAUGGAUAUAAUAAGGUAUCCGCGGAUAUUUUUUUCGCGGGUAUGGAUAUCCAGUAUCCAUACCCGUUACCCAAUGGAUAUCUAACAUGUGGACCAUCCAGAUUUAUAUAUUAUCAUAAAUUCUUAUUUUUUAAUUUUUAUCCAUAACAUGUUGUUUGGUGCUGAAAUUAUCAUUUAAUGCUAUUGGAAUGAUAAUUAUUUUGAAAUGUAAUAAAAUUGUUGUUUGGUGUUUAAUGCUAAAAUUGUAGUGGGCGGGCGGGUAACGGGUAUCCACUGGAUAGCGGAUACCCAGCGGGUACGAGUAUGGAUACAGAUCCAUACCCACGAACGUUUAUGGGUACGAGUAUGGGUUGAGUUUUGUCUCGCGGGUAUGGAUUCGCGAACUAUAUAUCCGUGUACUAACCGUCCGAUUGCCAUCCCUAUACCCUGCAGUCCCACACGCACCAGCCGAUGCUGCUCGUAAAACGAAACGUCAUCGCAAGCGUGGCUGCAUGCACGCGCACCAAAGCGCUGCUGCGGGUAAAAAAAUGACUAAAUAAAUUAUUCAUAAAAUAAUUGUACAUCUAAAUUUAUUAUGCAGUUAUUUACUCUCUCGUAUUUUUUGCAAUUAUUUAUUCUAUUUUAUGAAAUGAUUACAAGAAGUAAUCUAAUUAUAAAAUUUAUCACAUGUAGAUGACUGGUAUUGUGAGCCGUGAAUUCGAAGUGUUGGUCCCGCAUAGCCAAAACUAUCUCACGUGGGCAUCUGAUGUGCAGAUUGUGCUUGGGGGCAAGAAGCUUAAGGUUGCAAUUGGGCUUGGCCAAAAAGAUGAAGUUGCCACCGACGAGCAAAAUGACCAAGCAUUACACUUUCUGCGGCACCAUCUUUCGCCUACUCUCAAGAAUGAGUAUAUGUCAGAAAGAAAGGCAAGCAACCUCUGGAAUGCAUUGCAGCAGCGUUUUGAGAGGUUAAAGUACACAGUCUUGCCCCAAGCACAGCAAGACUGGGCUCGUCUUAGAUAUGACGACUUUAAAACUCUAGUAGAAUAUAAUGCAGCACUGCACCGAAUAUGCACCAAAUUAUCUCUUUGUGGUAAGGUGAUAACAGAUGAGGAAAAGAAUGAAAAAACCUUGUCUACCUUCCACCCAAGCGUCAUUCAAUCUGCCCGCAACUAUCGACAAGACGCAUACAAGUAGUAUAGCGAUCUUAUUGAUAUGAUGCAAGUAAAUGAGGCACAAGAUGAUGCAUUGAAGACGAACUUUAAUGCUUAUCCAAAUGGAAAGAGCAUUAGCACCGAAUUUAAUAUCGCCUCGUACAAGAUAAGAAAGCCUAUCCAGGGAAAGAGAGGCAAGCAUGGUGCUGGCAAGGAAAAGAAAGAAACCACAGUUAAUCCCAUCAAUGCUCACAGAAAGAAAACAAGCAAAGAGAAGACACAACACAAGCCAUAUGGACUGCAAGAUCAAACAUGCUACAAAUGUGGCGUGUGGGGACAUUGGUCCAAAAUAUGCCAGUCACCAAAGCAUGUCAUAGAAGCAUAUAAGGCAAAGAACAUACACAAACAAAAACCUGAGGCGCACUUCACCAUGGCAACCAACAAUGAAGCCAUGGAAGAAGACCCUACACUUGAAGCAUCUGGCAUGCCUCUUGAUCUUGCAGGUGCUGUGAAGAUGAUUGCCACUGAAGAGAACAUCUCCACAACUCUAGUGGAGGCUGACACCGAUGCCUUCCUUGAUUCCAUUUGAGUGCUUGCAUGCACAUUUAUUUUUUAGAGUUCGAAAAAACAUAAAUUAUGGUCUGUAAGCUCUAUGAGAGCAUUAUCUUUAUUUCAUGAAUGUUGAACUUUUUAAAUUUACUAUGCAAUAUUUCCUUUAUGAUAAUUACUAAUUGCAAUAAUUGUAUUAUAAAAGGUCUAUGGAGGAUGUAUGUAUUAUCGAUAGUGGCACGACAAAUACCAUUUUAAGGGAAACAAAAUACUUUCACACGAUCAUGAAGAACGGUGGAAGUAAUACCACAAUCGUCGGAAGUGAUUCAUGUGUAAUAGGCUCCGGUAAAGCCACAAUUACACUCCCGAUGGGUACUCAAAUCGAAAUCAAAGAAGCACUAUUGUACCCCGAAUCAACCAGAACUCUCUUGAGUUUUAGGGACAUUCGUGCAAAUGGUUUUCAUGUAGAAACCACCGAGGAAAAUGGUAAGGAAUACCUAUGCAUCAUAAAGUAUGGGGAAUAUGACAAAGAAGUCAUAGAAAAAUUCCCAUCACUAGAAUCAGGGUUAUAUUAUACUAAGAUUAGUGCACCUGCAAUAUACACUUUCCUAAAGACGGUGUUUAGACAUUCUGAAUUAUUCUCUCUAUGGCAUUGUCGACUAGGGCACCUUGGUCUUAGAAUGAUGAGAAAUAUCAUCAAUAACUCACAAGGACACUGCAUAAAUGUGAAACACUUCCCAAAUCAAGAAGAUUUUGUGUGCCAUGGAUGUGCCAUGGGAAAAUUGAUAGUGAGACCAUCUCCCUUGAAAGUAAAGAAUGAAAUGCCCACCUUCUUGGAACGAAUCCAGGGAGACAUUUGUGGUCCAAUUCAACCACUUUCAGGACCUUUUCGGUAUUUUAUGGUCUUAAUCGAUGCAUCCUCAAAGUGGUCGCAUGUAUGCUUACUAUCAACUCAAAACCAUGCAUUUGCAAAGUUGAUCUCACAGAUCAUCCUAAUUAAAAAUACUUUCCCUGACCACCGACUAAAGUCCAUCAGAAUGGAUAAUGCUGGAGAAUUUACCUCUAUAAGGCAUUUGAUGAUUAUUGUACCGCAUCGGGAAUUGCAGUUGAGCACUCUGUGCCUCAUGUUCAUACGCAAAAUGGACUAGCCAAAGCUUUGAUUAAAAGAAUAAAGCUAAUUGCUCGACCACUCUUGUAGAGUUGUAACCUACCCAACACAUGUUGGGGCCAUGCCAUCCUGCACGCAGCAGCGCAUAUCAAUUUCCGUCCAUCAACAUACAACAUUCACUCACCAAUGCAACUAGUGCAAGGAGUCAUCCCAAAAAUCUCUCACCUAAGAAAAUUUGGAUGCAUGGUAUAUGUACCUAUACCAGUUCCACAGCAAAGUGCAAUGGGUCCUCUCCGGAAAAUAGGGAUAUAUGUUGGAUAUGAGAGUGCAUCCAUAAUUAGACACCUUGACCCAAUGACCGGAGAAUUGCAUACGGCCCCAUUCGUUGAUUGUAUUUUCGACGAGGAUAAUUUCCCGUCAUUAGGGGGAGCAAAAGAACCUUUGGAUGAGAAAUGCCGAGAAAUUAUAUGGCAAUCCACAGGAAUCCCCGCUCAUGACCCUCACACCAAAGAAGCAAAUCUAGAAGUUCAAAAGAUAAUCGAUUUGCAAAACUUAGCAAAUGAACUGCUUGACCAUUUUUGUGAUUUGAAGAGUGUGGUUAAGUCGCAUGUUCCCGCACGGAAUGCACCAGAGAGGGUUGAAAUACCAAAGAAAAUUGAAGGUAUACUCGAUCCUGUUAAGAGGCCUCAUAACAAAAGGACAGGAACUCUGGCUUCUCAAACCCCAAGUACUCGGAGACGUUCGAAGAAAAGAGGGCAAGAGGACUUGCCAUAGCCAACCACAGAAAUGCCCCAAAGCAAGAAGGGGAGCCAGAUGAGACCUAGCACCGGGAAGGAACAUAUGAAGAUAAGCAUUCUGAACUUGAACCUUUCCGUAGAAGAUAUCACCAACCCAAACAUGUGCACACACAAAGGCGAUGAAAAACUAAAGGAACUUGCUCCCGCAACAAGAAGUAGCAGGGAAACACAAGAAGAAAUGCAAUCAGCAUCCCAUGAUGAAAUGACCAUAAACUAUGUAUUAACUGGAGAAUGCAUGAACAGAGCAACAACCAACAUAGACAUAUAUUUCGCAAAGAAAGUUGCCUCAAUCAUUGAUCAUGACCUAGAACCAGCAUCUAUCGCAGAGUGCAAGAAAAGACCAGAUUGGGAUAAAUGGAAAAAGACAAUUACCGUGGAAUUAAUUUCUCUAGACAAAAGAGAGGUGUUUGGCCCCGUAAGCCGCACACCAUCCCACAUACACCCUGUAGGUUAUAAGUGGGUAUUUGUCCGCAAGAGAAAUGAAAAUAAUGAAAUAUUAAGGUACAAAGCAAGGCUAGUCGCUCAAGGUUUCACUCAGCGCCUUGGAGUUGAUUAUGAAGAAACUUACUCUCCAGUCAUGGGAGGAAUUACCUUUAGAUACUUGAUCUCAUUGGCAGUGAACUUAAAUUUAAAAAUGAAACUAAUGGAUGUUGUGACGACUUAUCUUUAUGGAAACUUGGAUACAAACAUCUAUAUGAAAAUACCAGAAGGAAUCCCAGUCCCAAAUCGAGACGAGAAAAAUAGAGCAUUAUACAGUGUUAAACUUAAGAAAUCAAUGUAUGGAUUGAAACAAUCAGGAAGAUGUGGUAUAAUCGCCUGAGUGAAUCUCUAAGCAAGAAAGGCUACACAAACAACGAGGAUUGCCCUUGUGUCUUUAUACAGCGAUCCCCGAAUGGAUUCUGUAUUAUAUCAGCAUAUGUUGAUGACUUGAACAUCAUAGGAACAAAUGAAGAAAUUGAAGAAGCAAGCUCAUACUUGAAGUCUGAAUUUGAGAUGAAAGAUUUGGGUAAAACCAAAUUCUGUUUAGGCUUGCAGCUUGAACAUUUUGAAGGUGGCAUAUUAAUCCACCAAUCAACUUACACUCAGAAAGUAUUAGAAAUAUUUGGUUUUGAGAAGGCAUACCCUGCCAAAACACCUAUGAUCGGAAGGUCAUUACAUAUAGACCAAGACCCAUACCGACCUAAGGAAGAGGGGGACGAAGUUCUCGGAGUUGAAUACCCGUACCUAAGUGCAAUCAGAGCGCUAAUGUAUCUAGCAAAUAGCACGAGACCAGAUAUUGCAUUUGCCGUGAAUCUGUUAGCAAGAUACAGUGCAGAACCCACCAAAAGGCAUUGGAAAGGGAUCAAGGACAUCUUCCGUUACCUACAAGGAAGUAAGGUCUUGGUUUGUUUUAUCGAAAAAAUCAAGAUCUGAAUCUUAUCAGGUACGCUGAUGCUGGAUACCUGUCUGAUCCACAUUCAGGCAAAUCUGAAACUGGAUAUGUAUUUCUUUGUGGAGGAACUGCAAUUUCAUGGAAGUCAUCAAAACAAACUUUGGUCUCGACUUCAACGAACCACUCAAAAAUUAUUGCAUUAUAUGAAGCCUCGCGUGAAUGUGCAUGGCUUCGAAGAAUGAUCAACCAUAUCCAAUCUGCAUGUGGGUUGAAUAUUGAGCAAACACCCACAAUCAUUUAUGAAGAUAAUGCAGCUUGUGUCGCACAAGUUCAAAUGGGCUUGUGAAAUGCAAUCUUAUGAAGCAUAUAAACCCCAAAUUCUUCUAUGCACAUGAGCUACAUAAGAUGAAUGAGAUUAAAAUAUUGCACACUAAGUCAUGUGAAAAUCUCGCAUAUAUGUUCACAAGGUCACUCCCUGCAUCAUCCUUGGAAAGAUGUGUCCGAGGACUUGGAAUGAUGAAACUUAGAGAAUUGCAGAUCUCAGGGGGAGAAACUUCACACACACCCAAAUAAAUCUUAAAUGUAAAUUUUAAGUACCCAAAUAAUCUAGAAGAUUAAAUUGUUAUAUUGGGUAAAUUGUACUCUUUUCCCUUAUGUGAGUUUUCAUGAAAGUUUCUCACUAAGGUUUUGAUGAGGCAAUUCGUGCGACACAACAAGCAUGGGCUAUAUACUCUUUCUCCAAUUUUCCCACUGGGUUUUUAUGGAUUUUUGGGACACAUGCAUCUCGUGGCAUUGGGCCAAGGGGGAGUGUUAAGAAACCUUUCUUGGGACAGGAAGGCCCAUGUGGCCCAUAUGCAUGAAACCCUAGUUUUUGUCUAUAAAUAGAGAUGAGAUCCCCAUAUCAUGUAACCUUGGACAACAACACCAUACACUAAUAAAGAAUCAGUCCCU
rnacentral:lncRNA from 1 species